CAAACGACAAUGAAAAGAAGAGUAGCAGGUAAGUUGCUUUUAGAGAGUCUCUGGCUGGUGAAAAGAGACAGCAGUUAGUUGUGAACCACAUCUUUGAGUCGGCUAGUUGAAGCAAGUAGGCUAGUCCGGGAGGGCCCGUUACAGCUGUGGUCAAGUUGACCAGUGGAGAUUGCUUGUUGUGAGACAGCAAUGAAAAAAGGUGGAACCGCGUAAUUUACGUCCUUUAGUCAUUAUGACUAAGGGACUUUUUUUAUUUCACCAAGCUGGCAUUGACCCAAAGAGGCUUUUUCUGUAAAGAAUAAGCAAACAAGAGGUGGAACCACGUUUAACGACGUCCUCUGG
rnacentral:ncRNA from 1 species